AGGGAUAUCAAGACCACC
rnacentral:snRNA from 1 species